rnacentral:rRNA from 1 species
CCCUUAGAUGUUCUGGGCGGCCCGCGCACUACAUUGGCACUCUCAAUAAGUUCCUAGAUCCAAAACUUUGGGGUAUUCUAUUAAGUGGUGUCGUGACUGGGAUUAACCCUUGCAAUUAUUGGUUACGAACGAGGAAUUCCUUGUAAUCGCGGUUUAUCAGCCCGCGUUGAAUGCGUCCCUGCCCUUUGUACACACCGCCCGUCGCUCCUACCGAUGAAUCGUCCGGUGAAGUUCAUGGAGUGGUGGUUGUUCCAGCUGCUGUCGAAGUGAAAUGGACCUCACGAUUUAGAGGAAGGAGAAGUCGUAACA